rnacentral:rRNA from 1 species
UUUGAGAGAAGGGAUGACACAGUAGGAUAAGCUAAGCACACUGUUGGUUAUGUGUGCCCAAGCAUUGAGGCAGUCAAAGUAGGCAAAUCCGCUUUGAUAAUGCUGGGAUGUGAUGGGGAGCGAAAUUUAGUAGCGAAGUAGCUGAUUUCACACUGUCAAGAAAAGUCUCUAUCGAGGUUAAAGGUACCCGUACCGCAAACCGACACAGGUGGGUGAGGAGAGUAUCCUAAGGCCAGCGAGAGAACUGUUGUUAAGGAACUCGGCAAAAUGACCCCGUAACUUAGGGAUAAGGGGUGCCACCAUCAGGUGGCCGCAGAGAAUAGGCCCAAGCGACUGUUUACCAAAAACAUAGGUUUCUGCUAAGUCGCAAGACGAUGUAUAGGAGCUGACGCCUGCCCGGUGCUGGAAGGUUAAGGGGAUCUGUUAGAGCAAUCGAAGCAGUGAACUUAAGCCCCAGUAAACGGCGGCCGUAACUAUAACGGUCCUAAGGUAGCGAAAUUCCUUGUCGGGUAAGUUCCGACCCGCACGAAAGGCGUAACGAUUUGGGCACUGUCUCAACAACAGACUCGGUGAAAUUGUAAUUCCGGUGAAGAUGCCGGAUACCUGCGACAGGACGGAAAGACCCCAUGGAGCUUUACUGUAGCUUGACAUUGGGUCUUGGUACUACAUGUACAGGAUAGGUGGGAGGCUUUGAAACCAGGACGCCAGUUUUGGCGGAGCCAUCCUUGGGAUACCACCCUUGUAGUACUGGGACUCUAACCAUAGGCCAUGAAUCUGGUCUUGGGACACUGUCAGGUGGGCAGUUUGACUGGGGCGGUCGCCUCCCAAAAGGUAACGGAGGCGCUCAAAGGUUCUCUCAGUACGGUCGGAAAUCGUACGUAGAGUGUAAAGGCAAAAGAGAGCUUGAUUGCAAGACAUACAGGUCGAGCAAGGAUGAAAAUCGGACUUAGUGAUCCGGUGGUUCUGCGUGGAAGGGCCAUCGCUCAACGGAUAAAAGCUACCCUGGGGAUAACAGGCUUAUCUCCCCCAAGAGUCCACAUCGACGGGGAGGUUUGGCACCUCGAUGUCGGCUCAUCACAUCCUGGGGCUGUAGUAGGUCCCAAGGGUUGGGCUGUUCGCCCAUUAAAGUGGUACGCGAGCUGGGUUCAGAACGUCGUGAGACAGUUCGGUCCCUAUCCGUCGCAGGCGUAGGAAAUUUGAGAAGACCUGUCCUUAGUACGAGAGGACCGGGAUGGACGUACCUCUGGUGUACCAGUUGUCCUGCCAAGGGCAUGGCUGGGUAGCUAUGUACGGAAUGGAUAAGCGCUGAAAGCAUCUAAGCGCGAAGCCAACUUCAAGAUAAGAUUUCCCACCGCAAGGGUAAGACCCCAGAAAGACUAUCUGGUUGAUAGGUCGAAGGUGUAAGUGCAGCAAUGUAUUUAGCUUAUCGAUACUAAUAGGUCGAGGACUUGACCAA